rnacentral:rRNA from 1 species
UACGUAGGGCGCAAGCGUUGUCCGGAAUUAUUGGGCGUAAAGAGCUCGUAGGCGGUUUGUCACGUCGGAUGUGAAAGCCCGGGGCUUAACCCCGGGUCUGCAUUCGAUACGGGCAGACUGGAGUGUGGUAGGGGAGAUCGGAAUUCCAGGUGUAGCGGUGAAAUGCGUAGAUAUCUGGAGGAAUACCGGUGGCGAAGGCGGCAUCCUGGACCGACAUUGACGCUGAGGAGCGAAAGCUAGGGGAGCAAACGGG